AUUGAACGCUGGCGUCAUGCUUUACACAUGCAAGUCGAACGGUAACAGGCCUUCGGGUGCUGACGAGUGGCGAACGGGUGAGUAAUGCAUCGGAACGUACCCAGAGGUGGGGGAUAACGCAGCGAAAGCUGUGCUAAUACCGCAUGUGAUCUGAGGAUGAAAGCGGGGGACCGAGCAGAAAUGUUUGGCCUCGCGCCUUUGGAGCGGCCGAUGUCGGAUUAGCUAGUUGGUGGGGUAAAGGCCUACCAAGGCGACGAUCCGUAGCUGGUCUGAGAGCACGACCAGCCACACUGGGACUGAGACACGGCCCAGACUCCUACGGGAGGCAGCAGUGGGGAAUUUUGGACAAUGGGCGCAAGCCUGAUCCAGCAAUGCCGCGUGCGGGAAGAAGGCCUUCGGGUUGUAAACCGCUUUUGGCAGGAACGAAACGGUGUCCGCUAAUACCGGGCGCUAAUGACGGUACCUGCAGAAUAAGCACCGGCUAACUACGUG
rnacentral:rRNA from 1 species